rfam:Gossypium raimondii Chr02_contig_1452, whole genome shotgun sequence.
UGUUGAAAAUUUCAUUCAUUUGUAAUGUUAAAAAACGGUGAAAUUGAAAGAAUAACCAUAUAGUGACACGUAUCGUUCUAUAUGCACAUCAUGUUGACAUAUAGGAACCAGUUUUUAACGAUAAAAAUAGAUGAAUUUUUUUACA